GACGAGCGGCGGACGGGUGAGUAAUGCAUAGGAAUCUGCCCGAUAGUGGGGGAUAACCUGGGGAAACCCAGGCUAAUACCGCAUACGUCCUACGGGAGAAAGGGGGCUUCGGCUCCCGCUAUCGGAUGAGCCUAUGUCGGAUUAGCUAGUUGGUGAGGUAAAGGCUCACCAAGGCAACGAUCCGUAGCUGGUCUGAGAGGAUGAUCAGCCACAUCGGGACUGAGACACGGCCCGAACUCCUACGGGAGGCAGCAGUGGGGAAUAUUGGACAAUGGGGGCAACCCUGAUCCAGCCAUGCCGCGUGUGUGAAGAAGGCCCUCGGGUUGUAAAGCACUUUCAGCGAGGAAGAACGCCUAGCGGUUAAUACCCGCUAGGAAAGACAUCACUCGCAGAAGAAGCACCGGCUAACUCCGUGCCAGCAGCCGCGGUAAUACGGAGGGUGCAAGCGUUAAUCGGAAUUACUGGGCGUAAAGCGCGCGUAGGUGGCUUGAUAAGCCGGUUGUGAAAGCCCCGGGCUCAACCUGGGAACGGCAUCCGGAACUGUCAAGCUAGAGUGCAGGAGAGGAAGGUAGAAUUCCCGGUGUAGCGGUGAAAUGCGUAGAGAUCGGGAGGAAUACCAGUGGCGAAGGCGGCCUUCUGGACUGACACUGACACUGAGGUGCGAAAGCGUGGGUAGCAAACAGGAUUAGAUACCCUGGUAGUCCACGCCGUAGACGAUGUCGACCAGCCGUUGGGUGCCUAGC
rnacentral:rRNA from 1 species